CCUGCAGUCUGCUCACCAUUCUGCAACAGAUUUCUCCUUGGUGACAAACGUGACCAACUCACUCCCCAGUUUUUACAUUAUUGUUUUGGUCAGGAUCAGGUCUGGAACAAAGCACCAGACUCAUCUUGAGUCCCCAAGUCUGACUGGCACCCUUUGAAGUGGCUAUGACUGUUCUGGACCCAGGUUUUGAGGAAGAUGUACAGUACAAACAAAAAGCGAAAGAGGAGAAUAACACAACUGAGAGAGCACACCUGUCAUGUGGUGAAACAGGCUUGGGUGAUUCCCUUCUAGUCCGUAGUGAAGACUUCUCUUGCCUGUUAAGGUGUGUAUUUCUUAUUCCCCAAGAAAGAAG